rnacentral:rRNA from 1 species
CGGUGGGGGCUGCUAUACAUGCAGUCGAACGAGCUUCCGUUGAAUGACGUGCUUGCACUGAUUUCAACAAUGAAGCGAGUGGCGAACUGGUGAGUAACACGUGGGAAAUCUGCCCAGAAGCAGGGGAUAACACUUGGAAACAGGUGCUAAUACCGUAUAACAACAAAAUCCGCAUGGAUUUUGUUUGAAAGGUGGCUUCGGCUAUCACUUCUGGAUGAUCCCGCGGCGUAUUAGUUAGUUGGUGAGGUAAAGGCCCACCAAGACGAUGAUACGUAGCCGACCUGAGAGGGUAAUCGGCCACAUUGGGACUGAGACACGGCCCAAACUCCUACGGGAGGCAGCAGUAGGGAAUCUUCCACAAUGGACGAAAGUCUGAUGGAGCAAUGCCGCGUGAGUGAAGAAGGGUUUCGGCUCGUAAAACUCUGUUGUUAAAGAAGAACACCUUUGAGAGUAACUGUUCAAGGGUUGACGGUAUUUAACCAGAAAGCCACGGCUAACUACGUGCCAGCAGCCGCGGUAAUACGUAGGUGGCAAGCGUUGUCCGGAUUUAUUGGGCGUAAAGCGAGCGCAGGCGGUUUUUUAAGUCUGAUGUGAAAGCCUUCGGCUUAACCGGAGAAGUGCAUCGGAAACUGGGAGACUUGAGUGCAGAAGAGGACAGUGGAACUCCAUGUGUAGCGGUGGAAUGCGUAGAUAUAUGGAAGAACACCAGUGGCGAAGGCGGCUGUCUAGUCUGUAACUGACGCUGAGGCUCGAAAGCAUGGGUAGCGAACAGGAUUAGAUACCCUGGUAGUCCAUGCCGUAAACGAUGAGUGCUAAGUGUUGGAGGGUUUCCGCCCUUCAGUGCUGCAGCUAACGCAUUAAGCACUCCGCCUGGGGAGUACGACCGCAAGGUUGAAACUCAAAGGAAUUGACGGGGGCCCGCACAAGCGGUGGAGCAUGUGGUUUAAUUCGAAGCUACGCGAAGAACCUUACCAGGUCUUGACAUCUUCUGCCAAUCUUAGAGAUAGACGUUCCCUUCGGGGACAGAUGACAGGUGGUGCAUGGUUGUCGUCAGCUCGUGUCGUGAGAUGUUGGGUUAAGUCCCGCAACGAGCGCACCUUAUUAUCAGUUGCCAGCAUUCAGUUGGGCACUCUGGUGAGACUGCGGUGACAACCGAAGGAUGUGGGAUGACGUCCAAUCAUCAKGCCCAUAUGAACUGACUACCACGUGCUACAUGGACGCAACACGGUUCGCAAGUCGUGAGCUAAGCCUAAUCUCUCGUA